AAAAAAAAGGCAUGUCGACGAAUUCUUUUUGUUGGACUGAGGGGACGAGCAGCUAUCGAGUAUUCAUCCAUCUCCCAGAUCAUCCACAAGCUGGAGGUACAUCUGCUACACCUUGCCUCUGCAACUCGUCCAUGACACUGUCUACUGAAGGUGGCUUCAGGCCAAGGGGCAGUGGCAGCCAUGGUUUCGAUAAAACAUCACCUAUCGCUGCAUCUAUGCUCUCACUUGACUGAAAAUUCAUAAAGAAAAAGAUGCACCGAAUUGAGAGUGCAACAAAAUACGUAAAUAUGACAAUUUUGUCUUAAUUUUGCCUGAAAAACAUGUCAGUGCAAUUACACUUACUGGCUGUGUCUGUAGCUGGAGCUGCGCAUCUUGUUGACUCUUGUUUGCUAGUACGGGAGGAACGAGAGGUCUGUACAUUGGAGGUGGACAAGGCAAAACACCCCUCACCGGUGGAGCAGGAAAUCGCUGAAAAUUUGGACAUCAAGCUUGUCAAAUUAUGCUCUUCCAUCACCCCUUAUGAAAUGGCAUUUUCCAUUAUUUCAGCUCAGUUUGUUGACGAACCCUUACCGCUGCUGGCAUUGGCACUGCCAUGCAGGGAGCCAUCUGACCCGGCAUCUGCGCAGGCCCCUGUCAAAAUGGAAUCCGUCAGAACACUAGUCUCCCUAUGCUGCAUCGGCAAUGACACGCAAACGUACCCUCAUGUAAGGGUGGUGCCAGAACGCCGGGUCAGACGGCGGAGGAGGAGCCCACGGCGGCGUUGGAGCGCGAGGGACGAGGUGCCGUGGCCACAUUGGCACGCGGGGCGACUCUACCCCUGGGGUAGGGUGGCCCCAGACGUGCAACGGCCUUCCGAAGUGCUGCAUGGGAUGCGGAGGAGGAGGAGGCGGCGGUGGCGGAGGGAAGCCGAUGGUCGGCACGGUCCAUGCGUUGGAAUCGGGUCUCUUCACGGCAGUGGAGGCUCCCCCGGCAGCGUACAUCUGCCGCCGCUGGGUCCAGCUCGCUGCCUCCGCCUCUCUUGCAAGCAUAUGCUUCCUGUGAGACCGGUACUUCUGCACAGAUUUGAAUAGCAAAUCGUUAGCAAUUACCAUAACACACAAAAAAAAUGUGCAACGAUUUAGUUGACUAUGUGGUUAAUUAUAUGCAUUAGACAAGCACCACCUAACUUGCAUUGUGAUAGAUGAAACUCUGCAACAAUUUAACUAUGUUUAAUUUGAGAUUCAUAUAUAUAUAUAUAUGGAUGUUUCAUGUUUGUUAAUUUGUAUACCAAUUGUUAGAUCAUUUACACUUUGCUCUUUGUGGUGAGCAGGAGGUCCCACUAAAACAGACUGCAUAGGGUCCAAAUAUUACGAAUUACAAACUGGCAGUGCAAUCGGUGAAGCUACAGCUCACACAUCUUACCGAUACAGUACACAGUACUACGAUACACGUUCUAAGAAAAGCGAUAGGGAAAGGACGUGUGACAGUCCAAAAAAGGUCUUAUCUCUAACAGUGUGGCUCGUUGUCUCUUGUAACCGUACCCUUAUGCCAGAAGAUUCAUACAUUACUAGCCUUUGCUAAUAUGGCACAUUUACUUUCCUAAGACAUGUUAAUGUCCAAAUACCCAAUAUCAUAUAUCAACUGGCUAGUUCAGUCCAUUCGUCAAACUCGUACACGUUCCGUGUCAUGCAUAUAUGAUAUAUAGGUCAAUCCAUAUGAACAUGGACCAGUUGUUUUUCUACUAAUAUGAAUAAUACUUAUUAUAUACUCCCUCCAUCCCAAAUUACUAUUCGUUUUGCUUUUUCUAGAUACAUCAGUUCUGCUAUGUAUAUAUGUAUCUAGAUGUAAGUAUGUACCUAGCUACAUAUCAAAAAAGUGUGUAUCUAGAUAAGCCAAAACAAAAAGUAAUUUAGGAUGGAGGAACUAUAUCAGAAUAAAGAACAGAACUGGGCAUAUCUGAAGUGUGGUACCAGGAAAAGAUAGAUACCAUUAAAUUAAGACCGUAUCGUAUUUCUCUGUUAUAUCUAUAAUAGUGUGGUCAUUUGAAAUUUGAGAUACAUUAACAGAUGGUCAUAUAAGAUUGCAUCAAGUACAUUUUGUUUCAAAACUUGUUUGGGCAAAUGAUCAUCUUAUUGACUUGGCAAUUAUUUUUUUCCUUUUAUAGGAUCAAGUAGUUUGUUGCGUAGAUGAUGUUUCUUGCCACAUAUUUUUUUGCAACAACAAUAUCUACUGAUUAUGACAGAAGAAAUUGAAGGUCAAUGAUAAAAUCAGUAAUCUGUAUUAAGUUUCUGUUUACAUAUAUUUCACGAAUUCAUGAAGGUCAGGAUGUAAAUCAUAGACUAAAGCUAUGUUAUGAUGCUGUAAGGUCUAUAUAUAAAUCAUAAGUAUGUAUUAUCAGGAUACAUUAACCGGUAGUUAAAUACGGCGCUUUUACAUAAUCCUAUAUCAUUGGAAAUACAAUACAUGCAUUAAAGUUUAAAAUUCAAAAUAAAAAAUUUAGGAUGCAUGCUCUGUUUGAUACACUACGUUCAAAAUUACCUUUUCAAACAUAUAUUUUCUAUUUUAGCAUUGUAUAGACAGCUACGCAAGUUAGGUUUGGGUCCAAAAACUGUAUACAUCUAUCAUUUUUAUUUUUUACAUACUUUCUGUACUAGAAAAAUACUUAGAAGUCGUUAUAACCAACAAACACAUUAAAUAUGCGAUUAGUAACUCUUGCACUGUUUUUACUUGAAUCACAAUCAAGAUCGACCACUGGGGUGGAAGCAAAAGUAACUUUAUUUGUACUUAUUAUGAUUAAAAGUCUAUCAUAAAACUGUAACUGUGUAUAAAAUUUACUUUAAUCUCUACAGAUUGAUUACAUUUGUUAUGAUGUACAUCCCAACAUAGUUUACUAGCAAAUCAAAGAACAUAUAAGUUUUCAAAUAUGGAACCUUUAUUUUCAAAUGAAUUCAAAUGCCUAACAUCAGAGAGAAAAACACUACGCCCUCGAGCAAGAAACUAUAUGUGAUGGAGUUAUGCUAAGCAUCAGCACGGACCUGUAAAUGACUUGCUAUAUUAUGCCGCGUGAGGGAGUCGAUCCCCAUGAUCUCGAGUAUCCUGGACGGCACUGCCUUGUCAAUGCCCAGCUGCUCUACCGCUUGAACAAAUCUCCGGUGAAGCUCCGGUGUCCAAUCCACCUUAAAAAAUAUGGCAUAACGUAGUGUCACGUGACUCAUCCUUAACGUUUGGUUCCUGUUAGGGCUUGCUUGCAAAUUAACAUGCACGCGUACCUUUGCUUUCUUCUUCCCAUGAGAGUGCUUGCUGGACGACUUGUGCCGGCUCUCAGCCUCCUGCGAUGACGAUGUCGUCGAAGACGGCGACUUCUCCUCAGCCAAGACU
rnacentral:lncRNA from 1 species